GAAGCGAAGCCGCGAGGUAGAGCAAAUCUCUAAAAAGACAUCUCAGUUCAGAUUGCAGGCUGCAACUCGCCUGCAUGAAGUCGGAAUUGCUAGUAAUCGUAGGUCAGCAUACUACGGUGAAUACGUUCCCGGGCCUUGUACACACCGCCCGUCAAACCAUGAGAGUUGGCAACACCCGAAGUCGGUAGUCUAACCGCAAGGAGGACGCCGCCGAAGGUGGGGUUGAUGAUUAGGGUUAAGUCGUAACAAGGUACC
rnacentral:rRNA from 1 species